AACGAACGCUGGCGGCAUGCCUAACACAUGCAAGUCGAACGCCCCGCAAGGGGAGUGGCGAACGGGUGAGUAACGCGUGGGAAUCUACCCAGCAGUUGGGGAUAACCGCGGGAAACUGCGGCUAAUACCGAAUACGUCCUAAGGGAGAAAGAUUUAUCGCUGUUGGAGGGGCCCGCGUCGGAUUAGCUAGUUGGUGAGGUAACGGCUCACCAAGGCGACGAUCCGUAGCUGGUCUGAGAGGAUGAUCAGCCACACUGGGACUUAGACACGGCCCAGACUCCUACGGGAGGCAGCAGUGGGGAAUAUUGGACAAUGGGGGCAACCCUGAUCCAGCAAUGCCGCGUGAGUGAUGAAGGCCUUAGGGUUGUAAAGCUCUUUUACCGGGGACGAUGAUGACGGUACCCGGAGAAUAAGCCCCGGCUAACUUCGUGCCAGCAGCCGCCGUAA
rnacentral:rRNA from 1 species